AGAGUUUGAUCCUGGCUCAGGAUGAACGCUAGCGGCAGGCCUAAUACAUGCAAGACGAGCGGUAAUUCAAAUAGCAGUAUUUGGACUAGAGCGUCGUAAGGGUGCGUAACACGUAUGCAAUCUGCCCGGAACAGGAGGAUAGCUCGGGGAAACUCGAAUUAACACUCCGUAAGACAGUGGUGUGGCAUCACACAGCUGUUAAAUCUACGGAGGUUCCGGAUGAGCAUGCGGAUGAUUAGCUAGUUGGCGGUGUAACGGACCACCAAGGCAAUGACCAAUAGGGGAACUGAGAGGUUGAUCCCCCACACUGGCACUGAGAUACGGGCCAGACUCCUACGGGAGGCAGCGGUAGGGAAUAUUGGACAAUGGGUGCAAGCCUGAUCCAGCCAUGCCGCGUGCAGGAAGAAGGCUUUCUGAGUUGUAAACUGCUUUUGCCAGGGGAUAAAAUACGGGUGCGCCCGGAAUUGAAGGUACCUGGUGAAUAAGCCACGGCUAACUACGUGCCAGCAGCCGCGGUAAUACGUAGGUGGCAAGCGUUGUCCGGAUUUAUUGGGUUUAAAGGGUGCGUAGGCGGUCUUCUAAGUCAGUUGUGAAAUACCUCAGCUUAACUGGAGAGGUGCAAUUGAUACUGGAAGACUUGAGUACUGAUGAGGUAGGCGGAAUGGACGGUGUAGCGGUGAAAUGCUUUGAUAUCGUCCAGAACACCGAUAGCGAAGGCAGCUUACUAAGGAGUAACUGACGCUGAGGCACGAAAGUGUGGGGAUCAAACAGGAUUAGAUACCCUGGUAGUCCACACUGUAAACGAUGAUUACUCGAUGUUGGCGAUACACAGCCAGCGUCUUAGCGAAAGCGAUAAGUAAUCCACCUGGGGAGUACGCCGGCAACGGUGAAACUCAAAGGAAUUGACGGGGGUCCGCACAGGCGGUGGAGCAUGUGGUUUAAUUCGAUGAUACGCGAGGAACCUUACCUGGGCUAGAAUGCCCUUGACAGACUCAGAGACGAGUUUUUUCGCAAGAACAAGGAGCAAGGUGCUGCAUGGCUGUCGUCAGCUCGUGCCGUGAGGUGUUGGGUUAAGUCCCGCAACGAGCGCAACCCUUAUCUUUAGUUGCCAGCACGUAAUGGUGGGGACUCUAGAGAGACUGCCCGCGCAAGCGGAGAGGAAGGAGGGGAUGACGUCAAGUCAUCAUGGCCCUUACGCCCAGGGCUACACACGUGCUACAAUGGCGUCUACAGAGUGUUGCGAUCCAGCGAUGGAAAGCCAAUCACAAAAAGGACGUCUCAGUUCGGAUUGCAGGCUGCAACUCGCCUGCAUGAAGUUGGAAUCGCUAGUAAUCGCGCAUCAGCAAUGGCGCGGUGAAUACGUUCCCGGACCUUGUACACACCGCCCGUCAAGCCAUGGGAGUCGGGAGGACCUGAAGCAGUUGCUGUGAGGCGCUGUUUAGGGUAAAACCGAUGACUAGGGCUAAGUCGAAACAAGGUAGCCGUACCGGAAGGUGCGGCUG
rnacentral:rRNA from 1 species